CCCGUUCCGAAGGAAGAGAGGGCUAGGGCUGGGGCUGGGAAACGGCCGUAACCGGCGAGCCCCCUCGCUUCUGCGGGGCCCUGCGCCCCGUGUCGUCAUCGGAGACGGCCAGGGAGGCCCGCCUGGCUCCGUCGGACCCGGCUCCUCACACCCACCUGCCUCCCCCGGCGGCCCCCGCGCCGGCUCCCGCAGCCCCGCCGCCAGCUCCUGCUCCCGGCCGCAGCGCCAUCUUCCUCAGACCCGCCGCCGCCGCGCCAGCAGCUGUCAGCCGGACAGCUUCCCUUUGGCAUCCAUCUCAAGCCACCAAAGAGACCUGCUUACUCAAUGGAUAAAGGACAAUCAAGCCUCAGGAAAGAUAAGUUGUAAGAGAAUGAAGCCAGAAGUGUACUGAGUGAUAUGAAUGUUCUUCCUUAUCUAGAUAAAACAUUUUUCAGUUUUUGAACAAAAUCAUCUUAAAUGAAGAGACAAGAAAGAGCAUGAUUAAAUGAUGGAGA